rnacentral:lncRNA from 1 species
GCGGCAGCAGAGCCGCCGGGUGCGGGGCGCUUGGGUGCCGCCGGGCUCUGCCGGUUGGUUUCUGUUCCAGCUGCGCGGAUGCAGCAGAGCGCCGGUGCGGUACGAAGUCACCCGGGGCCUCGUCCGCCUGGAUCGCCAGGACACUGUCCGAGCUCGGAGCCAGCCGGAGGCACCUGCCAGAGGACCCGCAGCUCCCGCGUCCGGUGGAUGAGGCUCUCGGCGGGGAGCGUGCGAAAGCCUGGCCAAGCCUGGAGAAACCCCCUGGAGCUGGGAGGCGACAGGGACCCCCAGCCUCCGGGAUCCUGCCGGCAGCUCAGGGGGGCUCUCGGCAGCAGGGACCUGGUGUGGAGCGGCAGCAGAGGAAUUAAAAGCAGAGGAAAUUAAAAUUUCUGCUAUGGAUUUUGCUUUUCUUCUUGGAAGAGUAGUAAAUGUGGUACGUGGCAUGCCGGGGAGAGCCGUAUGGGCUGUGCAUGCGUUUCCAUGAAUAAGGAAGGGGAGGCCUCGCGGGGGCAGAUUGGGGGUUCUGGUUCCUCGGGCUGAUGGACAUUGUGAAGGAGGAGACGCAGGCCAAAGCGAGCAGGGGAAGGUGCAGCACAAACUCCAGCCUUUUGCCCCCMAAAUCUGCCCUCAGGUGGGACGCAGACUGAGUUUUCCACUUCUUUGCAGCACAGAACUUCAUUGCUUUAGAUCAGAGGGAAACAGAGCCUGGGGGGGGGGGUGUCUUUGAACCCAGGAGAAAUCGGGGACUGUCUGAACCGGGCUGUCCAGGCUCUGCUGUUCACAGUGGGAUCGAGCCA